rnacentral:lncRNA from 1 species
GUAGCAGGGUGGGAGGGAGCUACGGCUGGUGGCUGAUUCUCUGGGGUGACUGGGCAUGGGUUAUGGGAAUGGAGGAUGAUGUCCCUCAUCGGUUCCCAGAGAGUUGCCUCACUAGCACCCUGGAGCCUGUGAAUAGUGUUUAAAUCAAUGGUCAAAGUGAAGAGGGCAGCUUAGUCCUCAUUACUCCCCAGGACUAAUUGACCUCUUCUGAAAAGGUACAUUCUUGAUUUGGUGAGACUCUUCCUCAUCCGGAAAGAACAGAGGAGAACAAAGGCAUCACCAUCCUGAGAGUGUUUGUGAAGGACUCAUACAGACCGAACACUGCGCAGAGCCUGAUGACCUUUUCCUGCCCUGGAGAUUCUCAGUUUUGUCAUUUUGAUGAAUCUCUAAGUUGUGUUCACUAAAAAGCUGGCAAUGAGAAUAGAAGAAUUGCAAACAAUGUAGCAGGCCCUUGCCAAGAUUUAAAUACAGAAGAAACAUUCAAAAGGACGGUAUCAAAUUAUCUGCAAAGAUGAAGAAAGUAAUGACUUACGUUCUCCAUCCUCUGGCUGGGUGACUCACCAAAGUGGAAAAUGAAGCACUUGGAGAUUAAAGGUACCCCCAGAAAGAGGGGGAAAGGGAUGGGCUCUGGAGAAGCCAAUCCAGUUACAAGUUAACAUGCCACAGGAACAUCUGUGAUGGAAGGUGGCAGCUAAAUGCUUCGUGUCUCUUUGUGUUCUCCAG